AUCACACAUUAUUGUGGAGACUAACACCACUUCUCAGGUGCAUGGGGAUCAGCAGAAGAUAAUCCUGACAUGGCAGUUAUCAUUUGGGAAGCCCUGGCGUGCAUGCACAAGACAGCCUAGCACAUGGCCUGCUUGGGACAAGAACAUCCCACAGAAGAGAACUGCCAUCAGCACUGCAGCUCAAAACAUGGGCAGUAGAUGCAAGAGUUGAUGGGCAGCUUCACAGGCUUCCUUACUCUCUGGCAGGGUUUCAGCAACAGGCUUCUUGUUCCUAACCGUUCUGCCCAUUUAAGACAGAGAUGAUUUGGUGUGGACUGGUGAGCAUAACUGCUGGGGUCCAAGAAAGAUUCCUGCUCUCUCCUGCCCCAUCCUGCUUUUCUAGUAAGUUCAGUUUGGCUGUGUCAGCAUAAAGGGUGGUAG